CCUACGGGAGGCAGCAGUGGGGAAUUUUGCACAAUGGCCGAAACCCUGAUGCAGCAACGCCGCGUGAGCGACGAAGGCCUUCGGGUUGUAAAGCUCUGUUGCCCGUGAAGAACGGUACGGACAGGAAAUGGUCUGUACUUGACGGUAGCGGGAGAGGAAGCCCCGGCUAACUACGUGCCAGCAGCCGCGGUAAU
rnacentral:rRNA from 1 species